rnacentral:rRNA from 1 species
GAUGAACGCUGGCGGCGUGCCUAAUACAUGCAAGUCGAGCGAACGGACGAGAAGCUUGCUUCUCUGAUGUUAGCGGCGGACGGGUGAGUAACACGUGGAUAACCUACCUCUAAGACUGGGAUAACUUCGGGAAACCGUAGCUAAUACCGGAUAAUAUUUUGAACCGCAUGGUUCAAAAGUGAUAGACGGUCUUGCUGUCACUUAUAGAUGGAUCCGCGCUGCAUUAGCUAGUUGGUAAGGUAACGGCUUACCAAGGCAACGAUGCAUAGCCGACCUGAGAGGGUGAUCGGCCACACUGGAACUGAGACACGGUCCAGACUCCUACGGGAGGCAGCAGUAGGGAAUCUUCCGCAAUGGGCGAAAGCCUGACGGAGCAACGCCGCGUGAGUGAUGAAGGUCUUCGGAUCGUAAAACUCUGUUAUUAGGGAAGAACAUAUGUGUAAGUAACUGUGCACAUCUUGACGGUACCUAAUCAGAAAGCCACGGCUAACUACGUG